rnacentral:rRNA from 1 species
GAGGAAUAAGCAUCGGCUAACUCCGUGCCAGCAGCCGCGGUAAUACGGGGGAUGCAAGCGUUAUCCGGAAUCAUUGGGCGUAAAGCGCCUGUAGGUUGUUUAGUAAGUCUGUUGUUAAAGACCAGGGCUUAACCCUGGGAAAGCAAUGGAAACUACUAGACUUGAGUAUGGCAGGGGUAGAGGGAAUUUCUAGUGUAGCGGUGAAAUGCGUAGAUAUUAGAAAGAACACCGGCGGCGAAAGCGCUCUACUGGACCAUUACUGACACUCAGAGGCGAAAGCUAGGGGAGCAAAAGGGAUUAGAUACCCCUGUAGUCCUAGCCGUAAACGAUGGAUACUAGAUGUUGCGCAAUUUGUGCAGUAUCUUAGCUAACGCGUUAAGUAUCCCGCCUGGGGAGUACGCUCGCAAGGGUGAAACUCAAAGGAAUUGACGGGGGCCCGCACAAGCGGUGGAGCAUGUGGUUUAAUUCGAUGCAACGCGAAGAACCUUACCAGGGCUUGACAUACUACAAAUCUUUUCGAAACGAAAGAGUGCCUUCGGGAAUGUAGAUACAGGUGGUGCAUGGCUGUCGUCAGCUCGUGUCGUGAGAUGUUGGGUUAAGUCCCGCAACGAGCGCAACCCUCAUUUUUAGUUGCCAAUUUAUUGGGAUUUCUAGAGAGACUGCCGGUGACAAACCGGAGGAAGGUGAGGAUGACGUCAAGUCAGCAUGCCCCUUAUGCCCUGGGCCACACACGUGCUACAAUGGCGAAGACAAAGAGUCGCAAACCUGCGAAGGCUAGCUAAUCUCGUAAACUUCGUCUAAGUUCGGAUUGCAGGCUGCAACUCGCCUACGUGAAG